rnacentral:RNase_P_RNA from 1 species
CCAGCAGGUCACCUUAUCGCCGUGUGCUAAACUUGUUUUAGUGCAAGGAGGAAAGUCCGGACACCAUAGUGCAGCAUAGCGGGUAACGCCCGUCACUCUAGUUCGCUAGGGUAGGACAAGUGCAACAGAAAGCAAGUACAGGUAAUGCUGUAGUGAAACCAGGUAAACUCUAUGCGGUGAAACGUCAUGUAAAUCAGCGUUAAGAGUUGCGCGCUCGUGUUGAAGGGUAGGCGGUUAGAGCUUUUAAGUAAUUAAAAGUCGAGAUAAAUGAUAAGGUAUCUUUGGUUUUAUCCAAGGAGAACAGAAUCCGGCUUAUGACCUGCUUUUUUU